ACCAGCAACUUAAGACACAUCAGCAGUCACCUGGGGCUGGGGAAGGGGGGAUAUAUAGGGAAGUACAGGAAUAAAGUAUUUUUAAAGGACAAAAGGAUACACCAAGGUAAUGUUCAGUAUAUUGAUAUGGUGGUUUCAAAACAUUUCAAAUUGUACACUUUAAAUGUCUACUGUUAUGUAUCAGUGAUGCCUCAAUAAAGCUAAUACCACCACACUGCAUGUAAGGUAUGUUGCUUUAAAUUUGCCCAAGGCCCUAACUUCCCAUGAUCCAGAAUUCCUGGGUUUGGCUUUUGAACAUUCCCAGUUCUCAAUCAGUUAUGAGCUUAUAGCUUGGGCAUGUUUCUAUAGUAGCCUGCAGGUUAAAAAAUUGAGUGCCUUAGUUUCUGCUUAACAAGUCUUCCUUUUCCAGGUGCUACACCUCCCUGGAUGGUCCAAGAAGAGGAAUACAGUUCUGGGAACCAACAAAUAGGACCCUCCUAUGAAGAAUUUCUUAAAGAAAGUACGUAAACUAAUUCAGGUGUGGUAGUAAAUUAUUUAAAUAUUCCCACUUAAAUAAAACUGUUGAUAAUUGCAGAGGAAAAACAGAAAUUGAAGAAACUCCCCCCUGACAGAGUUGGGGCCAACUUUGAUCACAGCUGCAGCACCAGUGUAGGCUGGCUACCCUCUUUUGGCCGGGUCUGGAAUAAUGGACGCCGCUGGCAAUCCAGGCAUCAAUUCAAAACUGAAGCUGCAGCAAGGAACAAACAGCAGUCACGUGAGGGAAAAAAUCCUAUGGUUUCUUGAUAAUUUUCCAACGACCACACAGCUCAAAACCAAGUCAAUAAACCCGUAUCUGCUUUUAUCCUCUGUAAUUGCCUUUCUAAGGAAACAGACAUACCACUUACUUGAUUUAAUAAAGUUUUAUUUUUCGAA